AUGUACACGGUGGCAGUGUGGUUAGCUGGUUGUGUUUUUUUGAUCACGACCACUAUCCAUACUCCCUCCAUGAAUAUCG
rnacentral:pre_miRNA from 1 species